UGUACUGUGGCUUAGAUGGAUAAAGCGCUGGUCUAGCGAAUUCGGAGUCGUGGGGUUGAAUCCCACCAGAACGC
rnacentral:tRNA from 1 species